AAUAUUGCGCAAAGGAGGAAACUCUGACGCAGCGACGCCGCGUGAGCGAUGAAGGUCUUCGGAUCGUAAAGCUCUGUUCUUGGGGCAGCAGGUCUUCGGACUUGACGGUAUCUAAGGAGGAAGCUCCGGCUAACUACGUGCCAGCAGCCGCGGUAAUACGUAGGGGGCAAGCGUUGUCCGGAAUUAUUGGGCGUAAAGGGUGCGUAGGCGGCCUUUUAAGUCAGAUGUGAAAGCCCACGGCUUAACCGUGGGACUGCAUUUGAAACUGGGAGGCUUGAGUAUCGGAGAGGGUAGUGGAAUUCCCAGUGUAGUGGUGAAAUGCGUAGAUAUUGGGAGGAGCACCAGUGGCGAAGGCGACUGCCUGGACGACAACUGACGCUGAGGCACGAAAGCGUGGGGAGCAAAC
rnacentral:rRNA from 1 species